GUACCGCUGGGGGCCAGACGCAUCCAGGUGUGAAGCCAGAGUCUGGACCCACAGAGUGGACGAUGCUCUGGGAGUCACAGCCCACAAGGAGAACUGCAGUGCGUUGGUCCGAGUUCCUGGUUCCUCCUGUUCUGAGGCAGACGGUCGUUUUGCUGCAGCCUUUUUGAAUGUGAAGGAGACAUUUCACGCAGCGCCACCUCCAGGUCGCACAGGCGACGGACAGCAGCGACGUGAGCACAGAAACUUUUUAUUCCAAAAGUUAUUAAAGAUGUGAACCAGGGAAGACUCGACCAUGUUGGACCCAGAGCAGGACCAGGAACCAGCAGAACCACGCAGUCACAUGAACACAUCACUGUGAUGUCAUUACUGGAUUUACUCCCAUCCAUAUAAACUACCUACACUCUGAAGUUUAGCGACAGUCCAUGCAUGUCAGAUAACUACAUUAUAUUAAUGCUUCGUCCUGAUGAUGAGGCUUGUUCUGUCUGCACUCUUGUUGCAAAUUUGAUUUAAAAAAACAAAACAAAGCAAACCAACAUCAAAACUAAAAGUGGAGUUGGAAGAGAAUGGGACCUGAAAAGAUUCAAGCGUUGGACAAUCUUGAUGACAUUAAGAAAUCCUUGGACUUCCUCUCUGAGGACGUGGCAGCAAUGCGGCGCCAUCAACACAACAUCGUUGAGACUUUCUAAUGAGGAAAAGGACAAACGGAUCGCUGUGUUGCAGAACCGAGUGGCUGAUUUGGAGCAAUAAAACAGGAUAAACGAAGUCAUCAUCACUGGACUGUUUGCCAGCGCGGUGGCUGCACCGGGUCCGGCCAGUGAACCAUCAGCUGAAAUGUUUGACUCCACGGAGAAACGGGCGGCUUCUUUCCUCUGGACCCCGGGGACAGAGGCGGACUGUGCCGCUUCCAAGAAAGAAAAAGAUGAUGAACUUGCCAUCAUCACGAGAUUCACAAAGAGGAAACACAAGUUUGCUUUGCUAAAACAAGGAAGAUGGCUGAAAUGAUGCGAUGUCUUUAUUAACGAGCACCUGACCAAGAACAACGCCGACAUCACCAGAAAGACCCGGGUUCUGAGAAAGAGAAACGGAUCCAGUCAGCAUGGAGAAAGAAGUGAAUGCGGCUCCGGAGGAGGCAGCGGUUCUGGAACCGGAUGAAAACGACUGAAUGACUGACGAUCAGGAACCCAGGAGAUCACAUGACUCACAACCACCAUGUCUCAAUUAAACAAGACUUCAUCAAAUAUGGAUCCAACAUCAACACCUCCAUCUAAUGUCGACUACCUGGAACUGAAAACAUUUGACUACUGAAUAUAAAAGUCAAGACAAGGAAAAGGAUUUGGAUCCAGAAAAUAACUUCUACAAUAUUAACUGCUCUUCUCAUCAAUACAACAGUUAAAGCAGACGAUACAUUUUCCAUUAUACAUUUCAACAGCAGAAGCUCACAUGCAAUUUUAACCUCAUCAAAGACUUUGAUAACUAUCUCUGAAACCUGGAUUAAUGCUGAGAAGGCAGCUGAUUCUGAACUAGAUGGUUCUGAAUAUUAAUAGAGGGGCAGGCUGGUGGAGGAGCAGCUGCACAUGUGGACAGAGUCUCAGAUAUAACAUGCUUGAAAAUGUGACUAAAGUGGUAAAGGAUCAUUUUGAGGGUAUAACAGCUGAAAUAUAUAUGGAAAAAAAAUUAAAUAUAAUUGUUGGUUGAAUAUGUAGGGCUCCAGGUUCUAAUAUGGAUCUAUUUACACAACUACAACUGCAAAGGUCGAUUUUAUCUGGGGCUGAAACGAUUCCUCGACUGAUUCCAGUUCCUCGAUUAUUAAAAUUCCUCCAGGAAAAUUUA